AUUGAACGCUGGCGGCAUGCUUUACACAUGCAAGUCGAACGGCAGCGCGGGCUUCGGCCUGGCGGCGAGUGGCGAACGGGUGAGUAAUACAUCGGAACGUGCCCAGUAGUGGGGGAUAGCUCGGCGAAAGCCGGAUUAAUACCGCAUACGACCUGAGGGUGAAAGCGGGGGAUCUUCGGACCUCGCGCUAUUGGAGCGGCCGAUGGCAGAUUAGCUAGUUGGUGGGGUAAGGGCCUACCAAGGCGACGAUCUGUAGCUGGUCUGAGAGGACGACCAGCCACACUGGGACUGAGACACGGCCCAGACUCCUACGGGAGGCAGCAGUGGGGAAUUUUGGACAAAGGGCGAAAGCCUGAUCCAGCAAUGCCGCGUGUGUGAUGAAGGCCUUCGGGUUGUAAAGCACUUUUGGCGGGAACGAAAAGGACUGUGCCAAUACCACGGUUCGAUGACGGUACCCGCAGAAUAAGCACCGGCUAACUACGUG
rnacentral:rRNA from 1 species